UGGGGAAUUUUGGACAAUGGGCGAAAGCCUGAUCCAGCCAUGCCGCGUGAGUGAAGAAGGCCUUCGGGUUGUAAAGCUCUUUCAGCCGGAAAGAAAUCGCGCAGGAUAAUACUCUGCGUGGAUGACGGUACCGGAAGAAGAAGCACCGGCUAACUACGUGCCAGCAGCCGCGGUAAUACGUAGGGUGCGAGCGUUAAUCGGAAUUACUGGGCGUAAAGCGUGCGCAGGCGGUUAUGCAAGACAGAUGUGAAAUCCCCGGGCUCAACCUGGGAACUGCAUUUGUGACUGCAUAGCUGGAGUGCGGCAGAGGGGGAUGGAAUUCCGCGUGUAGCAGUGAAAUGCGUAGAUAUGCGGAGGAACACCGAUGGCGAAGGCAAUCCCCUGGGCCUGCACUGACGCUCAUGCACGAAAGCGUGGGGAGCAAACA
rnacentral:rRNA from 1 species